GACAGAGGGUGCAAACGUUGCUCGGAAUCACUGGGCGUAAAGGGCGUGUAGGCGGGAAGGCAAGUCAGAUGUGAAAGCCCUGGGCUCAACCCAGGAACUGCAUUUGAAACUCCCUUUCUUGAGUGUCGGAGAGGAAAGCGGAAUUCCUGGUGUAGAGGUGAAAUUCGUAGAUAUCCGGAGGAACACCAGUGGCGAAGGCGACUUUCUGGCCUGUUCUUGACGCUGAGGCGCGAAAGCUAGGGGGGCAAACGGG
rnacentral:rRNA from 1 species